rnacentral:lncRNA from 1 species
CAACUUGCUGACUGGUGGGUGAGCUAGGAUGAAAGUAAGUGAAGGGCUGUAGUCAAAGAUUUGAAUGGCUGUAUUCCAGCUGAUAUGUGACCGAAACUUCCUGGAAGAGUCUAAGCACAGUCAAGCAAGAUUUUUCUGAAUUCUUGACAGGAAUGAUGAAAGAAAAUGCAUGAGUAUUGACAUUUUAAACCACUAAAUUUUUUUUUAUAUAGCCACAGAUAACAAAUACAAUGUUUCUGUACAAAGCGAUCAAGACAGCUUCUCUAAGGAAUACUAUUUGAUGUGACCUGAGUCGGGAGACACUAGCUACUUGACACUUUGGGACUCAGAUGUUCCAGGCAGCAGUAGCAAUGGAUAGCAGCAAGGAUUGUAGGGAGAUCUUCAAAAGACAGAAUCUGGGCUGCUACUAGCUGGAUUCAUUCAGCUACAAGCAUCAAGAGUAUAAGAAAAGCUAAUAACGAUGAAAAAAAAAAGAAUUAUUCACAAGUUGACCCAAGUGGGAGGGUAGCUAACCUGACCUCCCUCCCACCCCCACCACACAGAAGUACAGUAAUCCUAUUCAUAGAAGGAUUAAAAAAGAGCCAGGAAAUACACAUAUGUAGAUUUAGUGAGGUUUUGGAGCACCAGGUUUCCAGAAAAUGUUGAAUCCUUCUUAGCAU